rnacentral:lncRNA from 1 species
GCGGUAUCUUCAUGUGGAUGUGCGUGACAUUUGGUGCUGAAAACCUGGGACAGGAGGACUCCUUUGGGAGACCAGCCCCCUGUCCUCGCCCUCACUCCAUGAGGAGAUCCACCUACGACCUUGGGUCCUCAGACCAGCCAGCCCAAGGAACAUCUCACCAAUUUCAAAUCGGAUCUCCUUGGCUCAACAGCUGAAGACUGACGCUGCCCAAUCGCUUUGGAAGCUCCGGGACUAUCACGGACCCCGAGCUUCGAGUAACUCUUACAGUGGAGGAGAUGGGUUUUCACUAUGUUGCUCAGAUUGACCUUGAACACCUG